rnacentral:sRNA from 1 species
UUGCGUUAGGGAUGGAGCGGCAUUCUUUUUAUUUUUUCUUUAAAAAUAAAAAGAUAUAGCGUACAGCCUCCCGAUAAAUA